CCUAUUUCAGGUUUAUAAUUUUCUACCUAUACCCGUCCCUAUCCCUAUCUUUACGCCCCUGUGCCUAUCUUUACGCCCCACUGCCCAUCUCAGUGGAGAACCACCGUAGAAUUUUCAGAUUUUUGAAAGUGUCAAGUAAUCUUUUUUGAAAUAAGUGUCAGAUGAUUUUAUUGAAGAACCAUGCAUAGAUAGGCCUUCAAUCCUAUUUAGGCUUGAAGGCUCGAAUUGUAAAAUUUUCAUUUGAAAAAGGAAAUAAAUAAAUGAAGAAGGAAUCAUUUAUGAGGGAAAUUCCUUUUUACAUUUAACUAAUUAGGUGAUGUAUAACCAAUACAGCAAAGUAACAUUUUAAUCUUGAUUCCUAAUAAAUUUUGUUCUAAAUUUUAUGUUCAAGUUCUACUUGUGCUACAUCAUUAGGAUCAUAGAGAGAAAAGGAAUCACUGGACCAGAUUCUUUUCCUAUUUUGCUAAAAACUUGCCUUUCUCUUAGGAAUCAGUAGCCAGAUUUGAUUUUUUCCUAUUAUGCUGAAACUUACCCUGCUCUUGUUUUAUCCUUGCCAUGCGUUCCUCUCAGAUAAACCAAAUUUUUAAACUGGUCUUUCUUGGCAGCUGUAACAAAAUGCUAUUAUUUGUUAUAUGCUCUGAAGAAUUAUAGGAGUAUUUGGGAAAUCCUAUAUACAGACUGGGAAAACAUUUCUCUAAUAGUUUAUCGAUAUUUUGUUGUUGUACAUCAGUACUUAUCUGAUUUUCAGUUUUCUUGUUCUCUGUAGCACUGAACUGCCCAAGGCUUACCAAACUGUUAAUGUUCUGUCUGAGGUUUUGAAGGCUGUUAAUUUGAAACAUUUUACUGAGGUUGAUUCUGAGAUUUUUGAAGCUCAAAAUAAGGUUGCAGAGACCACAAGGAAUGGUACUCUUUACAAUAUUCUGUCUCUUGGUCCUGAAAAUAUUGGGGAAGCAAUGUCAAAAUAUCCUGAGAUCCAAGCAGCUGUUUUUGCCCUUCGUAACACCCGAGUCUUCCAUGGCCCAAGGAUCACAAGAGGAAAAA